rnacentral:misc_RNA from 1 species
AAGGUUUCACUUUCUUGAACAUCAUGAGGCAAUUUGCGGACAUUUUUCUUUCAGUUGAAUCACAAAAAGGGCAGCUAGAGCAUGGACUACUUGUUCUAAUUAAUUAAUGACCUUAAUGUUGAUCCUAUUUUACCAACUCAUGAAGGUUUCAUCUACUAAAUUAACGUUGAUUAUAAUCACCAUUAGCUAUGUGGAGAGCAUUUUUUAAUGUAGCUAAUGACCCAUUAAGAUGCAAGAUGAAGUGAAAAAUUGAGUACAAAAAGCAUAUAUACCAUGUCCUGUGAUGGAUCUCAUAAGUUCAUUUUUUUCAGUGGAGCUCUGAUUGGGGUUCAAACUCAUAACCUCACAAUUCUGAAGAUGAUUCUAAGUACUAUUAAGCCAAAUUCACAGAAGUUAUUUGGCUACUCUAGAACUGGAUGCUUCGGCUGUAGCCAAAAGAGCAGUUUCUUUGGCUUGUUUCUGAUUCCAUUUUUACUUUCGGCUACCUUUCUCCCUUAUACUAAUGCAUAAAAACAAAACAAAUAUCAGGUUUUCCCUUGAGAGAGAGAGAGAGAGAAUCCAAAAACAUAAUAAAUGAAAGCCAACCUAGCAUGUCAAGCAAGCAUAAAAAUUCAAGCAAUAAAAUAUUACUUUAUAGAAUCCUCAAGCCCUUUUUGUUAAUUAGGUAUGGAAUGCAUUAUGGGUUAAUGCCCUCAUACUACCUUGUUGCUCAUCAUUCACAAGAUGAAAUAGUAACUUGAGAACAUUUUUGCCCCAGCUAGAGAGGGGACCAUCCUCUUUCAUUGUCCAUACAUCUACCAUGCAAAGAAUCCACAGCUGUAUAAUGUGCUCACACCAUUUAGCAAUUAGCAAAAGAGAAAGAAAGAAAGAAGCCUCCAAAAAGGCCUAGACUAGAAUAUAUUUUCUCUCUCUCUCAAGCAUUUCCCUCUGGCACUCAACUCAAAAUCUGUGAUUUACCCACACAAUCUUUGCAUGUGAGUCAUUAAAGAUAAAGGAAAACAAAGGGCCAACUCUUUAUGUCUAUUUAAAGUCAUCCUUUUCCUUCACCUAGUCUCAACCUAAUUGCCUCUCUCAUUACAUUUCAUCAAUCUUAUCAUUUUCCAUUUCUUGAUUGCCAGAAGAUGAAGCUGUUCUCAGUUUUUGUUAUAGUCAUUCUGCUCCUUCAGGUACAUAUACAGUUGAAAAUUAAUUAUUGUAUAACAAUGCUAGAAGUACUUUAAAAUCUAAAUGUGAUUUUACACUUUGAUGUACUUUUUGCAGGUUUGUUUGGGCCAUUCAUUUCUCAGUAAUGCUGCAAAAUUUUCAGCAAAUGUGAGUCUCUUUGCUUACUACUUUUAAAUUUCUGAAAUUGGGUCCAAUGAUUCCUUUAUUUUUCACCAGUCCUGUGAGGCUAAACAAAGCUCCAAGUAGAAGGAAAAAGAAAAGAGGUGAAAUGAUUUCAAUUGGGUGUCACAUUUUGUAAUUAAAUUCCCCUUUUGGAUGCAGAUUGAUGUAGGAAGUGAUGUAAUUGCCAUUGACAAGAAACAUC